rnacentral:rRNA from 1 species
GAUGAACGCUGGCGGCGUGCCUAAUACAUGCAAGUCGAGCGAACAGACGAGGAGCUUGCUCCUCUGACGUUAGCGGCGGACGGGUGAGUAACACGUGGAUAACCUACCUAUAAGACUGGGAUAACUUCGGGAAACAGGAGCUAAUACCGGAUAAUAUAUUGAACCGCAUGGUUCAAUAGUGAAAGACGGUUUUGCUGUCACUUAUAGCUGGAUCCGCGCCGCAUUAGCUAGUUGGUAAGGUAACGGCUUACCAAGGCUACGAUGCGUAGCCGACCUGAGAGGGUGAUCGGCCACACUGGAACUGAGACACGGUCCAGACUCCUACGGGAGGCAGCAGUAGGGAAUCUUCCGCAAAGGGCGAAAGCCUGACGGAGCAACGCCGCGUGAGUGAUGAAGGUCUUCGGAUCGUAAAACUCUGUUAUUAGGGAAGAACAAAUGUGUAAGUAACUAUGCACGUCUUGACGGUACCUAAUCAGAAAGCCACGGCUAACUACGUG